ensembl:lncRNA
UAGAAACCUCUUUACGCCUAAAGCUGCAGCGAUGGAGGUCGAGGGGACCAUGAAGAGGUGGCUCCAGCUGGCAUCAGAUCAAGAGUGUGGGUGCAAGAGAAGUCUUUUGCAAAAAGAAGCUACCAGGAAUCCUGAAGAAGGACUAGCGCAUUGGAGCGGUCGUGCUGCACGUGGGGGCAAACAUCAGGCUGUGGCAGGCGGAGGUUCUGAAGAGGGACUUCUCCAGCCUGAUCGAGACGGUACGAGGCAGAUCACCCACCGCGAAGAUCAUCGUCUCUGGACCUCUUCCCUCAUACAGAGGUGGAGCUGAAAGGCUCAGUAGACUUCUUGCUUUGAAUGACUGGUUAGUUUCUUGGUGUAAUGAACAGAAUCUGCUGUUUGUUAAUAACUGGAAUCUGUUCUGGGAUCGGAACUGCUGUCAGACAACAUUUCCAAGACGCUACAGACCAAGUGACUGUCUACCCGUGCUUACUUGAAGACGAUGAGGCAGAGCAGCAUCGGAGAGACAGUUCGCUCCAUUCUCCAAAGAAUCGGGGAGAACAGUCUGUAAUGUAUGUUUUUGUUGAAAGUGUCAAAAGGUGGGAAGCUGGCUUUGACUUAUCAGGAUGAAGUGUAUCGCCUUGUACACUAUAUUGCCGAACAAGCACAUGGACGUGAAUAUACUGUGCCGGUUGCAGAGAGGCCAUCGGCAGCUACCUAAAAAAUGCCCCAGGCAGGAAAAGUGGCAAGAAACAUAUUAUGAGUGUUUAUGAUGAAGAGCUACGUGGGAUCUCCAGUGCGUCCUGCAAGAAUUGGGCCUGAGUCCAGUUCAGAUUCAAUUUUGUAAUCUCAUUCCUCUCCCUUGCGUGACAGCCUCCAAACAGUACAAUUCUAAUGAGCUUGAAUAUACGGGGAAUUCCAUUGGGUUUGAUGUCUGACUAAUUAAAGACCCACCUCUUCUAUGAACACCUAACCAACUCAUUUAAAAAAAAAAAAAAAAAAAAAAAAAAAAAAAUUGCACUUACACCUCUAGUCUGCACUUUGCUUCUUCUAGAAUUCAAUGAAUAGAUCUUGUACGGUAGCUGCUCUUGUAUUGUUCUCUGCUUGAUAUAUCGCUUUGCUUGUAUCUUUCUUAUUUGUAAGUCACUUUGGAUAAAAGCGUCUGCUAAGUGAAUGUAAUGUAAAUGUAAUAAAUUGUUUUCUUUGAUUAGCAAUACAUAGGUACUAUAUCUGGC